GCUAGAGUUUGAGGAGAUUGUAUCCAUGUUUCUGUUGCCUGCUGUCCUGGGAGUGGAGGUGAAUGGCCAGCUGGGUCUAUGUGCAGCUUUUUUGGGGGAUGUGAAUUAUUUUCUCUCUUCCAACAUUUGAUUUGAUAUACAGUCCCAGGCCUUGCUCCACCUAAGUGGGGACAUGUGCUAUUUCCAUAGGGGAAUAUCUUUCUGUUUCAGAUGGAUUUCCGGUUUGACUUGAAGCAUUAGAACCUAGACUCUCAGACAGAAUCAGCCCCUGUUCCUGACGUCCCCCAUUUCACUGACAUAUCUCUCCUCAGUAGCAAGUCCUAUUCUUCCAAUCCAAAGAGGGAACAGAAUAAACUAUUUGUGAUUUGGGGGGCUGGUAGUUAAUAGUUGGGUGAGGGAGUGCUAGAAGAGGUUAGAGGGUAGAACCUCACUUAGGGCUUUCCAAGUACCUUCCCCCGCCUCCACACACACAUACAUAUUCACACCUGCUCUUACUCCUUUAGAGAGCCUGGCAUGUAUAAAUUCCCCUGGUCUGCUUGUUCAGAGUCUUCAGCCGAAUCCUUCCUCUCCAAAUUGAGCAAUAACACUGGGCAUAAGAAUUUUCACUAUUUUACUGAGUCAUCUGCUCCGGGGGUUGUGGACAGAGUUAAUAACCAAACAACUCAAUCUACAUUCUUACUGUGUCAGGGUUCCCUAGGCCAUCCCCAAGUUCAAUGACUUGCUUAUGAUCUUAUUAAGUUCUUUUAUUGAAUAAAGCCAAGGACACCAGUCCUUUAGGACUUACAAGACUCAGCAUAUAUUUGUACUCAUGGCUAUGAUUUAUUACAGCAAAAUCAGCAAAGGGAAAAGGCUUAUGGAUGAAGUCUGGAGGAAACCAAGAACAAGCUUCCAAGAACCCUCUGCUGGUGGCAUUAGACAGGACAGGUUUAUUUCUUCCAGCAAUACCCUGUGGCAUGCACUGUCCACCAGGAACACAUACCUGAGCCUAAAAGAACAGAGGUUUUAUCAAAGGUUGGUCACACAGGCACACAGGACCCAUAUGACUAACUGCAGUCCCUGACAUUUCAUGUUCCCAGAAGGAAGGCAGGUAUCCAGCAUAAACCACGUUGUUUGUACAGUAAGUCAAUCUUAUCAUUUAAGGAAAGUUUUGCAUCAGUGUAGGGAAGUUUUUACUAACCCAGUUCCCAGACACCAGCCAAGGACCAACUUUGCAAAUAGGCCUUUCUAAGGCCAGCAGUAUCAGGCCGGCUAUGCCUUUCAGCACACAUACCUUGGUCGCUACUUUUCAAAAUACAACACGAGAUGUACAUCCAUCUGAGUCCAUUUAAACUUUAAUGUCCCCACUGUUUCUUCCAUAUACUCUUUAUAUAUUAGAAUAAUGGGAGAAAAGUCAAGAAAAUCUAUAAAACUACAGCAUGAAGAUUGCCAUUAGAGUCACGCUUCCACUUCCUAACUGUCUUAAUUCCAUCUCCACAACUUCACAUUCAUUUACUCACAUCGUCUUUGACAGAAACAAACAAGAAGAAAGAGAAAAAUAAUGAAGCAAUAAAUUUGUUGCGUAAAAUAUCCAACUCCAAAAGAGGUAAAAUCAAUUUUAGCUAAAUUUGAUGUUUUAAUCAAACCUCAGACAUCCUAAUUAACAUGUGACAUAAAAUCUAAAUCUACACAUGAAAUUUCUAGGUAGUCAGAUAUGCAAUGAUGUGUGCCAAUAUCACCUCUAUAACUUUCCUUAGUUGAGUAUAGUUUCACCAUUUGAGUAGCCAAGAGGUUGUGUCCAAGCAAAAAAAAAAAAAAAAAAAAAAAAAAAAAAG
rnacentral:lncRNA from 1 species